rnacentral:rRNA from 1 species
CAGUCGCCGCGGUAAUACAGAGGGUGCGAGCGUUAAUCGGAUUUACUGGGCGUAAAGCGUGCGUAGGCGGCUUCUUAAGUCGGAUGUGAAAUCCCUGAGCUUAACUUAGGAAUUGCAUUCGAUACUGGGAAGCUAGAGUAUGGGAGAGGAUGGUAGAAUUCCAGGUGUAGCGGUGAAAUGCGUAGAGAUCUGGAGGAAUACCGAUGGCGAAGGCAGCCAUCUGGCCUAAUACUGACGCUGAGGUACGAAAGCAUGGGGAGCAAACAGGAUUAGAUACCCAGUAGUCCUUGUCUCUUAUACA